rnacentral:rRNA from 1 species
GAUGAACGCUGGCGGCGUGCCUAAUACAUGCAAGUCGAGCGAAUGACGAGGAGCUUGCUCCUCUGAUUUAGCGGCGGACGGGUGAGUAACACGUGGGUAACCUGCCUGUAAGAUGGGGAUAACUCCGGGAAACCGGAGCUAAUACCGGAUGAUAACGAGAAGCGCCUGCUUCUUUUUUGAAAGUCGGUUUCGGCUGACGCUUACAGAUGGGCCCGCGGCGCAUUAGCUAGUUGGUGAGGUAACGGCUCACCAAGGCGACGAUGCGUAGCCGACCUGAGAGGGUGAUCGGCCACACUGGGACUGAGACACGGCCCAGACUCCUACGGGAGGCAGCAGUAGGGAAUCUUCGGCAAUGGACGAAAGUCUGACCAAGCAACGCCGCGUGAGCGAUGAAGGCCUUCGGGUCGUAAAGCUCUGUUGUCAGAGAAGAACAAGUACCGGAGUAACUGCCGGUACCUUGACGGUACCUGACCAGAAAGCCACGGCUAACUACGUGCCAGCAGCCGCAGUAACAC